rnacentral:lncRNA from 1 species
GUAAAAUUAAAAGUUGUCAACAAUAUAAAUAGUAAAGUAAAGUACAGAUACCACAAAAACCUACUUAAGUAGUAUUGUCACCAAAGCCCCAUAUACUACCCACCACUGUGACCUGUACGCUCUCGUUGGCUGGCCCUCGCUCAUAUUCCUCGCCAAAGCCACUGGCUCCAGGUCAUCUAUAAGUCUUUGAUAGGUAAAGGCCCGCCUUAUCUCAGCUCACUGGUCACCAUAGCAGCACCCACCUGUAGCACAUGCUCCAGCAGGUAUAUCUCACUGGUCACCCCCAAAGCCAAUUCCUCCUUUGGCCGCCUUUUCUUCCAGUUCUCUGCUGCCAAUGACUGGAACGAACUGCAAAAAUCACUGAAGCUGGAGUCUCAUAUCUCCAUCACUGACUUUAAGCACCAUGUCACGCUCGUCGUAAAGAUUGGACCAAGGCGCAGCGUACUUAGAGUUCCACAUGUUUAAUAAAUAUGAAACUCACCAAAAACAAUACAGAAGAAAAUGAAGCGUUACGUUCUGGGCUGCUCACAGGCAGCUACACAAAAACAAGAUCCCACAAUCACAGGUGGGAAAAAGGGCUGACUCAGUAUGAUCCCCAAUCAGAGACAAUGAUAAACAGCUGCCUCUGAUUGGGAACCAUACUAGGCCAACAAAGAAAUAGACACAUAGAUAUGCCCACCCAAGUGGGCAUCACCCAGGUGGGCAACUCCUCUCGGUGGAGGCUCCGGUGCGGGACGCAGACCCCGCUCCGCUUGAGGCUCCCCCCACUUCCGUGAAACCGGACCGUGGAUCGUCGCCGGAGGCUCCGGACCGUAGAUCGUUGCCGGAGGAACCGGACCAUAGAUCGUCGCCGGAGGCUCUGGACUGCCGACCGUUGCCGAAGGCUCUGAACUGCAGACCGUCGCUGGAGGCUCUGGACCUCAGACCGUCGCUGGAGGCCCUGGACUGCAGACCGUCGCUGGAGGCUCUGGACUGCAGACCGUCGCUGGAGGCUCUAGACUGCCGACCGUCGCUGGAGGCUCUAGACUGCCGACCGUCGCUGGAGGCUCUGGACUGCCGGCCGUCGUUGGAGGCGCUGGACUGCCGACCGUCGCUGAAGGCUCUGGACUGCCGACCGUCGCUGAAGACUCUGGAUUGCAGACCGUUGCUGAAGACUCUGGACUGCAGACCGUCGCUGGAGGCUCUGGACUGCAGACCGUCGCUGAAGGCUCUGGGCCUUGGCUCUGGGCCUUGGCUCUUCACUGGAGGCUCCGGGCCAUGGAUCAUCGCUGGAGGCUCCGGGCCAUGGAUCAUCGCUGGAGGCUUCGGGCCAUGGACCGUCUCAGGAGGUUCCGGACUGUGGACCGUCUCAGGAGGUUCCGGACUGUGGACCGUCUCAGGAGGUUCCGGACUGUAAGCCGUCUCAGGAGGUUCUGGACUGUAAGCCGUCUCUGGAGGUUCCGGACUGUGGACCGUCUCUGGAGGUUCCGGACUGUGGACUAUUUAUUGCCUUACCUCCCUUAUCCUACAUCAUUUGCACACACUGUAUAUAGACUUUCUCUAUUGUAUUAUUGACCGUAUGUUUGUUUAUUCCAUGUGUAACUCUGUGUUGUUGUUUGUGUCGCACUGCUUUGCUUUAUCUUGGCCAGGUCGCAGUUGUAAAUGAGAACAUGUUCUCAACUUGCCUACCUCGUUAAAUAAAAAAGAAAUUAAAUAAAAAAGAGUAUUUUUACUUAAGUGCUUUACACCACUGACAAAGCAUGCUUAGACUAUUAAUUUCAGACAGAAAGCAUUUCAGACUAUAUGAUCAUAGGCUAAACCCAUAACAGGAGCAAUGAUUACAAUGUGAAACAAUGUAUUCUAACUACAAAGCAUGCCGGCACUGAUACAUUUCAGACAUCAUUGUUUAACUACCACAGUUGAAAAUUGAAACAGUCAGACCACCAGAUGCAAUGCUUGUAGCUAACAUUGUCAAUGCUGUUAUGUGUGAUAAUGUUACGCUUUAUGUAGUCUAACAGUUCAUAAAAAUUAAAAAAAUUCAACCCUUACCUGUUCCAAUCCAGAAAGAAUCCAGGCUUGUCGUCAUAUGACAAGCUGUAGCUUGCGCUCCUCUAGAAGUUUGGCACACAGGUAUCUGUGCAGAAGUUACCAUAAAAUCCAAACAAAAACCAUGCCAUUUACCAAUUUAACAUGAUGACAGUUUUAUGUCUAAUGUUUUGACAUCUAUCAGGAUAAUUAUUAGGCUAAAGCAAACAAUACCAUGCUAGCUAGCUAACGUUAGCCAACAGAACCUUUUACAUAGAUGGUUCUUCCACGUACCUCUUCCCAUGCUCUUUUCCCUUGUUUUUGUUCUCCCUUGAGAACGAUGUAAGGUUUCCCUGCAUCCCUCAAGUCUUCCAUUAAUUUAUGUUUAUUCUUCCAUUUUUUAUAAUAUUUGACGGGUUUUGCCCGCUGCGCUCAGACAAACCACUGGCCGCUCCAUUUUUUGCUUCGGACAUAUAGGUUUUUCUGGGUAUGCAAUAUUUCAAAUACAAUCGAGGGAAAACACAGGUUGGAAAGCAAAUGGUUCCUGCUGAAAAGAAAAUACUCUAUGCUGUAGGCUACCAAAAUAUCACCAGUGACUGAGCUGCUCAUCAUUGGGUGUGUCAGUGAAACUGGAAAGCAUGUUUAUGACUAUAAUUUCCUCCUCGUAUUGUAGCCUACAACAUGUGUCUCCACACCGCUUGGGAUAGACUAUUGAUGGAUUCAAGACAAGGUCGUUUUUAUUGAACUUAGAUUCUCAGUUUGUCAGUGUCAAAGUAUCCUGCCAUUUCGAUAAUUUGUGUGGUUUUAAAAAAGAUUCUGCCAAAGUCUCCAGUCAUGUAAAAUGAAGUGGAAUUGCAUGAAAUGCGUUUAUAAAAGGCCACAUUUUUCCCGGACCCUAGGCUGCUAAAAAUGUUCCCCAUGUGUGCAACCUCUAUAAGUGCCUCAACUCUACUGCUCUAUGGCACUACGAAAAUGUGAUGAUAUGCCCGCAAUGCUUUAUCAUAAAGGUGAUUUAUUUUCUCAUGAGUUCCGGCACCUCCCGAUUUACAAAUUAAGCACUGGGUGAGUCUAUUUUAAAUGUGAAAUACCGGCUAAUGGGUGCGUAAAGAGUUUGCAUGACCACUUCAUUUUAUAGACAGGAUAUCAAAUAAUGGUGUAUGAUGUUUAUAUUAAAAGUAGUUAAAUGUAACAUAUGUGGUUCUUCAUCUGUAACAGUCAGUAAUAUUAUGAUUCUAACUCCAACAGUCAGUAAUAUUAUGUUUCCAACAGUCAGUAAUAUUAUGUUUACAACUCCAACAGUCAGUAAUAUUAUGUUUCCAACAGUCAGUAAUAUUAUGUUUCCAACAGUCAGUAAUAUUAUGUUUCCAACAGUCAAUAAUAUUAUGUUUCUAGCUCCAACAGUCAGUAAUUAUGAUUCUAACUGCAACAGUCAGGAAUAUUAUGUUUCCAACUCCAACAGUCAGUAAUAUUAUGUUUCCAACAGUCAGGAAUAUUAUGUUUCUAACAGUCAGUAAUAUUAUGUUUCCAACAGUCAGUAAUAUUAUGUUUCUAACUCCAACAGUCGGUAAUAUUAUGUUUCUAACUCCAACAGUCGGUAAUAUUAUGAUUCUAACUCCAACAGUCAGUAAUAUUAUGUUUACAACAGUCAGUAAUAUUAUGUUUCCAACAGUCAGUAAUAUUAUGUUUCCAACAGUCAGUAAUAUUAUGUUUCCAACUCCAACAGUCAGUAAUAUUAUGUUUCCAACUCCAACAGUCAGUAAUAUUAUGUUUCCAACAGUCAGUAAUAUUAUGUUUCCAACUCCAACAGUCAGUAAUAUUAUGUUUCCAACAGUCAGUAAUAUUAUGUUUCCAACAGUCAGUAAUAUUAUGUUUCCAACAGUCAGUAAUAUUAUGUUUCCAACAGUCAGGAAUAUUAUGUUUCCAACUCCAAUAGUCAGUAAUGUUAUGUUUCCAACAGUCAGUAAUAUUAUGUUUC